GUGAAGGUGUUCGUAUGGGUGGCAGGGGGAGUACUGCAAUCAGUGUAUCCCAUACCCCGGCUGUGUGCAUGGUACCUGUGAGGAACCGUGGCAGUGUCUCUGCGACACCAACUGGGGAGGACUGCUCUGUGACAAAGCUUCCGGUGUGACCACUGCCUCUACCCCUGGUCAGAGUCUUGUUGCUUGGUGGUGCUCACUGAUGCUGUGGAUGGAUCUGUGUGGACAGCCUGACCCAGGAGACAGCCAUGGACAGAGCCACUUGGGGACUUUCACACCAUCACAGAUCUGCCAUUACAUCUGUCAGCUUGAGACAGCAAGGAAUUAGUGUCUUUAAUGACCUCAGAAACUACAGUGACCUAAUAGUUCCUCAUGAGCCAUUGAUUGCUGUUGUAAAAAGGACAUUAAUCAGCUACAGUUACAUUAUUUACUGUCCAGUGUCACCCAAAUGAGGAUGGGUUCCCUUCUGAGCCUAGUUCUUCUCAAGGUUUCUUCCUUAUAUCAUCUCAGGGAGUUUUUCCUUGCCACCGUCACCACAGGCUUGCUCAUUUGGCAUAAAAUAAAAUAGGGAUAAAAUAGUUUAAUAAUUUAAUUUAAUCAUUUUUUAUUUUUUAAUUAUAUAAAAAAUAGCUAACAUUAGCUAUGUCUGUUUAUAAUAGUAGCUUGCAGAGUCAAAUGCUGCACUCAUACAGUAGUUCAGAAUUAUCAGCUAACAAAAACACAAAACCUCUUGUUACCUAUACAGCCUGAAUACAAGUAUAGCUUUUCUAUUUAAAUAAAGUAAAAUACAUACUUGGAAAUGUACUUAUUUUCAAAAGUUCAAGUAUCAAAGGGUAAAGUAUUGUGAGUUAUUGUGUCCUUUGGAGACAGCCCUGACCUCUAACUCCGAAAGAUAUGUUUCAGAGGUGAAGUCAGAUGCAGUGGGUUGAUCAGCAACAGUGGAAUAGUUCUGUGUUGUAUUAGUGACUCAGUUCACUGUCACUGAUACUGUGAAGUGAUGAUCUGUGUAAAAUUAUGCUCCAACAGCAUCACUUCCUGGGUGUGGCCUUCUAGAUCCACUGCAACCCUGACCAGGAUAAAGCAGUUAUUGAAGAUGAAUGAAUGUAGGUGUAUAUUGACAGGUGUGGGAGUGUGAUCAGGAUAUAAUUCAAGAUAUAACAUAGUUUUCUAAUGAACUGAUAUUAAAGAAAAUAGUCUCACUGCUCUGCAUUUAUUGAGUGUAUAACACAUUCUGCUCAUUCAGUCACUCAGAAUAAACUGUUUAAUGUA